GACCGCGUAGCUCAGUUGGCAGAGCAUUGGGCUAGUAUUCCAAAGGUCGUAGGUUCGAAUCCCACCGUAGCCA